rnacentral:rRNA from 1 species
GAUGAACGCUAGCUACAGGCUUAACACAUGCAAGUCGAGGGGCAGCAUUAGGUAGCAAUACUGAGAUGGCGACCGGCGCACGGGUGCGUAACGCGUAUCCAACCUUCCCGUUACUCUCGGAUAGCCUUCCGAAAGGGAGAUUAAUACGAGAUGGUGUUGAAAUUCCGCAUGUUAUUUCAACUAAAGAUUCAUAGGUAACGGAUGGGGAUGCGUGACAUUAGGUAGAUGGCGGGGUAACGGCCCACCAUGCCUACGAUGUCUAGGGGUUCUGAGAGGAAGGUCCCCCACACUGGAACUGAGACACGGUCCAGACUCCUACGGGAGGCAGCAGUGAGGAAUAUUGGUCAAUGGUCGGAAGACUGAACCAGCCAAGUAGCGUGAAGGAUGAAGGUUCUAUGGAUUGUAAACUUCUUUUAUACGGGAAUAAAACCGCCUACGUGUAGGUGCUUGUAUGUACCGUAUGAAUAAGCAUCGGCUAACUCCGUGCCAGCCGCCGCCGUAAUAC